CAGCCGCCACGGUAAUACGAAGGGGGCUAGCGUUGCUCGGAAUUACUGGGCGUAAAGGGCGCGUAGGCGGAUGUUUAUGUCAGAGGUGAAAGCCCAGGGCUCAACCUUGGAACUGCCUUUGAUACUGGACAUCUUGAGUAUGGGAGAGGUGAGUGGAACUCCGAGUGUAGAGGUGAAAUUCGUAGAUAUUCGGAAGAACACCAGUGGCGAAGGCGACUCACUGGCCCAUUACUGACGCUGAGGCGCGAAAGCGUGGGGAGCAAACAGGAUUAGAUACCCCUGUAGUCCCUGUCUCUUAUAC
rnacentral:rRNA from 1 species